rnacentral:misc_RNA from 1 species
GAAGAGAUAGAGGAUGGCGUUUAGUGGUGAAGAAGUAAGCAACAAACAGGUGAUAUUCAGAGACUAUGUGACUGGUUUUCCUCAAGAAUCUGACAUGUGCUUCACCACUGGUACUGUAAAACUCAAGGUACCAGAAGGUUCUAAUGGUGUUCUUGUCAAGAAUCUCUAUCUCUCCUGUGAUCCUUACAUGCGAAUCUUGAUGGGGAAACAUGAGGUUUCCAGCUCAUUUUCCUCCUAUACUCCAGGCUCUCCACUUACUGGGUAUGGAGUGGCUAAAGUUUUGGAUUCAGGAAACCCAGACUUUAAAGAAGGGGACUUGGUUUGGGGAAUAACUGGAUGGGAAGAGUACAGUCUCAUCACAACACCACAAGCGCUCUUUAAAAUUCAGCAUACUGAUGUUCCCGUUUCAUACUAUACAGGAAUUCUUGGUAUGCCUGGAGUGACUGCUUAUGCUGGUUUUUAUGAGGUUUCUUCUCCCAAGAAAGGAGACCGUGUUUUC